GUCCGCCUGGCCGGCCCGCUCCCCGUCUCCCCCCACGCUCCCCACCACCAGCGCUGAGACCGAGUCAUCCGGCGACGACGAGACCGCAUCUGAAUCCGGCGACUCCUCCCGCCCCGCGCGCGCCCGCCGCGACCUGAGGGGCCGGGCGAGUGGGGUGCGCAGUGGACGGAGUUCGUCUCGUGGGAGCCCAGGGCGUUCGUCUACCACAAGUUCCUGAUUUCUUAGCAAGAUCAGACAGACAAAAAGGAAGGUUCAGACAAGAUACAACAUGGGUGUCAAGGUGCGCAUAGGUGCAUUCACAAACAGAAUUCUGAAGCUUCAUGGCGUGCCCCACCAGACCACGUUGUCGACGAGUGCGUCCGUCACCACUCCCUCUGCCAUCAUGGCUCACAUUUUUUGUUCUACAACAGUUGAUGUAGCGUCUUUCAUUGAAUCUUCCACUGUUCAGAUUACCAACACGACUCUUAUGUAAUUAUUAUGGUGCUAAUUCUAUAGUUAUCAGGGUGCUAAUGAUAUAUUUAUCACACUUGCUUAUGGUAAAAUUACCAUGUUGAAUUUUUCAA